UGGGGGAUAUUGCACAAUGGGCGAAAGCCUGAUGCAGCGACGCCGCGUGGGGGAUGAAGGCUUUCGGGUUGUAAACCUCUUUCGCUAUCGAACAAGGCCCGCUUAGGGUGGGUUGAGGGUAGGUGGAGAAGAAGCGCCGGCUAACUACGUGCCAGCAGCCGCGGUAAUACGUAGGGCGCGAGCGUUGUCCGGAAUUAUUGGGCGUAACGGGCUUGUAGGCGGCUUGUUGCGCCUGCUGUGGAAACGCGGGGCUUAACUUCGCGCGUGAAGUGGGUACGGGCAGGCUUGAGUGUGGUAGGGGUGACUGGAAUUCCAGGUGUAGCGGUGGAAUGCGCAGAUAUCUGGAGGAACACCGAUGGCGAAGGCAGGUCACUGGGCCAUUACUGACGCUGAGGAGCGAAAGCAUGGGUAGCGAACAGG
rnacentral:rRNA from 1 species